rnacentral:siRNA from 1 species
CAUUAGCGAUAAUUUCUCUUUCUC